AGUCAACAUAGCUAAUAGAACUAAUGCGUUAACAAACCAGCCACAAUCAUGCAGUAACGUUACAGUAUAUAGUCAGUAAGCAGUUACACCGUCGGGCCCCGAUGGCAAUAAAUUAAUAAAACCAGCUUACUUUGACAUGGAUGGUGUUGGAUAGUCAUAGCCAGCUAGCUAACAUAGUAUCCCUCUGUUCGAGCCGGGUGUUUGAGUACCUAAACUGGCCAGCUGAAUUUGCUAGCUAAGUGGAGGUCGUUAGCUACAAUGGUAUUUUCAACACCAGGUCAACCAGGUCAACGCCCUCAAGGCCAUGCGGCUCGAAGGUAUUCCAGGGUGCAUUAUCAGAGCAUACGCAAACAGCUGCCGGGCACGUUCGUGGUUGGAUCAGUCAUGGACAGAAACUUCUGAGACGCGGUAUCAAUGAUGAACACCCAGAGGUUCACUGGUAAACCACAUUUUACUCGGGAUCCAUCCCAGUUGGUAUUCUGUGUCCACUCGUGGUAUCUCUCUUCGGUUACACAUCCCUGGAAUAGCAGAACAGCAUAACGUCAGAAGAGGAAUGGAAAUGUCAGGGUAAACCGACGACCUGACGAACCCACCAAGAUUGUUGACUCUGCCUGUCGGAGGUGGAGUUCCAGAGCUCACAGGUGUGCCUGGCAUGGAUUGUGACUCCAUCUCGUUCUUCGCCCUCUUCAACGUGUCAUUCUCCGCCUGACUCUCCGCCAAUGCCGCCUGGCUCUGGACCAAUGCAUCAGCUGUCGCCUGUAUCUCUGCCCUCAGAGAAUGUUUCUCUUUCUGCUGGUCUGCCUUCAAUGACUCGAUCUCGCUCUUCAAAAUUGGAAUCUGAUCCAUGUGUACCUUCAUCAGAUGAGCAGAAUGGUACCGCCCUGAGCCCCCAUCGAUUACAGUGGCCUAUGAUAGAAACGGUAGAUCAGUGAAGAAUUCAAAGUGACUCCAACACACAAAUGCUGCAUACACAUUAAAAAUAAAUAAGACCUACACCACUUUUAGCUGCACAUUACUCAACGCUAGUGAGACUCAUGUCGCCUACGGCAGGCCUACAGUAUAUUUAAAAAUAUAUUUUUCAAUGACGUGACUCUUCGUCAAUAAUUACAUUUAGAGGAUUGGAGGAUUCUACAUGAAUAUCUAAGGGGCAUUUUAUCAAUUAGUAUAUUUGAGUUUAACCACAAUAUUGUUGUAUUAUUUGUUCUGUCUUUUCUGGUGGAUUAAACUGAAAUUGCAACCAACUUUCUAUGG
ensembl:lncRNA